UAGGGAAUCUUCGGCAAUGGACGAAAGUCUGACCGAGCAACGCCGCGUGAGUGAAGAAGGCUUUCGGAUCGUAAAACUCUGUUGUUAGAGAAGAACAAGGACGUUAGUAACUGAACGUCCCCUGACGGUAUCUAACCAGAAAGCCACGGCUAACUACGUGCCAGCAGCCGCGGUAAUACGUAGGUGGCAAGCGUUGUCCGGAUUUAUUGGGCGUAAAGCGAGCGCAGGCGGUUUCUUAAGUCUGAUGUGAAAGCCCCCGGCUCAACCGGGGAGGGUUAUUGGGAACUGGGAGACUUGAGUGCAGAAGAGGAGAGUGGAAUUCCAUGUGUGGCGGUGAAAUGCGUAGAUAUAUGGAGGAACACCAGUGGCGAAGGCGUCUCUCUGGUCUGUAACUGACGAUGAGGCUCGAAAGCGUGGGGAGCAAACAGG
rnacentral:rRNA from 1 species